UAUCCUUUACGCGGUCACCGUAAUUUUACUCCUCUUCGUUUUCUCUGCUUUCAAGCUCUGGAGUCGUUUGAUUGUUCGUGACUGGAACUUCUUUCUGCGAGGGAGACAAGGAAGAAGAAGAAGAAGAAGAAGAAGAAGAGAGGUCGGUCGAAUCGAACGGGAUCUUGAUUGUGAUCGUAGUCGCCGUUGUAUCAGUCCAACUCCCAUGUUCAGUUCGCUCUCUAAAACCCUACUUCGGCGCCCGCUGUUCUUGCCCGCCACCCUCAGAUUAAUCUCCACCGCCGCCGCCGCCCCGAGUCGGCCCUCUUUCACGGUGUCUUAUCUCGUCAAUUCAUGUGGGUUGUCUCCGGAAUCGGCGUCGUCCGUUUUCAACCGCGUCGUAUUCCGAACCUCGGCGAGACCCGACGCGGUCGUUAACGUCUUGAAGAGCCAUGGUUUCUCUCAAUCCCAGAUUUCGCGUUUGAUUGGGAAGGGGCCUCACCUGCUUUUGGCGAAUCCUGAGAGGACCCUUUUGCCCAAAUUGAAGUAUCUGAGCUCUGUCGGGUUUUCCGUCUCUGACCUGGCGAAUCUGAUCUCUGCUUCUCCCUACUUAUUGACUAGGAGCUUAGAGAAGCACCUCAUCCCCAAUUUCGGUAGGCUUCGGGACUUUCUUGGGUCCGAUAAGAAUGCCGUUGCAGCUAUUGGACGCAGUCCGAAAAUAUUGUUCAAAGGUUUCGAGGCUACAGUUGAUCCUUUCGUCAAGAUUUUGAGAGAUCAUGGAGUGCGUGAAUCAAGCAUUAUGUGGUUAGUUAAGUGUCAUUCUAGGACGAUGAUACAUUGGUAUGAUCGCCUCGAGGGAACUGUGGAGAAAACCAAGAGGAUGGGCUUUGAUGAUCCUUCCGCGGCAAAGUUCCCUGUGGCUAUGUUGGCGGUCAUGGCGAUGAGUGAAUCGAAGUGGGAGAGGAAAUUCGAUGCUUACGGCAGGUGGGGUUGGUCUAGAGAUGAUGCCAUGAGUGCUUUUGUGAAGUGUCCUCGGUGCAUGACGAUGUCCGAGGAAAAAAUAAUGGCAGUGAUGGGAUUUUUUGUCAAUGAAUUGGGGUUUGAAUCUUCUUUUCUUCUGCAACAUCCUAGGUUGAUUUCGAUGAGCUUAGAAAAACGGAUUCGUCCUCGAGGUUUGGUUUUUAAACAUCUGUCGUCGCAUGGUUUGAUGAAGACGAAGAUUGGAUUGACUACCCUGUUGACAGUUUCUGAUGAAGAUUUCUUAGUGAAGUUCCUGACCCCUCAUAUUGGGGAAGUUCCGGAAUUGCUGGAUAUAUAUAGGGAGAAGAAGCAUAUGGCGAUGGGGACAGUGGUUCCAUGAAAUAGCACAGGGUACCAAAUAAUUCACCUGUCCCUCUUUCAUUUAAGGUUAUCAUUCUGUUCAUUCCGCGUCUCAACUUUUGGCUGCUGAUUCUUUUGAACUUUACGGUGUAUUGAUAGAGAACGCCUACCAUAUUUUGUGAAAUCGUGGAGAAUGUCCAUGGUUUCAUAUUCUCCCUUUAAGUUGGUUUCUUAUUCGCAGGCUUCCUGGAUACCUUGCCUUGACGUUUAACGUUCAUUUGAAAGCAUGGCCUAUAUGAUCCUUGAUUAUUGAAUUAAUAAGAUCAAGAAGUUAAGUUGCUCAUGUAUGCUGGUUCAUUCUUUAUUUGCGCAAAGUUAUUCCAAAUUGAGAAGCUUGUGGAAAGCGCCAAAAAGAAUGAGGAAACCAUAGCUUCAAAUGCUUGGAAGUCUGAAUCUUCUGAUACACAGCAAUCUUCUGAGUGACAGGUUAAAAUUUGGGUGCUCUGUCACAACUAUUGUGACUGUAAUGUGCAUUGAUGUUCUGCAUUGUGGUUGCACAUCAAAGAUAGAUUGUAAGUUUGCUCUGGCAAACCCUGCUUCACCGCCCACCAUUUUUGCCUCCCACACUCAGGUUGUAUCCUGAAUCUGCAGUGUUUGUGUCCAACCGUGUCAACUUCAAGACCGCGAGGCCCAACUUGAUCAUUCACUUAUGGCCUUCUAUCGUUCCCAGAUUUCACAGAUCAUUAGGGACACUUCCUCAGCUGAUUUGUGGCCAGUCCUGGGAGGGCCCUCUUGUCCAAAUUCAAUUAUUUGUGCUCUCUCGGCUUCUCCCACUAUAACCUUGCCAAAGUCUUCACUGCUUUUUCAGGGUUGUUGAUGAGAGCUUGGAGAAGGCCUCAUCUCUCUCCAUGCUGCACUCGCAUCAUAAGGAGGAACGAUACUACCCAAAAGAGCAAAUGGGUCAAGAUAAUUGCUAUUUUGCUGAAUGUAUUUUGUAGAACAGAGCCCUUUAUAUGAGCUAGAGUAGGUAGGAAAUGGGCAUUAUGCGAAUUGGUGAGAGCUUUACUGCUCGCUGUCUUCUUCAGGAGAUUAUGAAUAGAAUUAGAUUCGGAGGCCAA